rnacentral:rRNA from 1 species
ACGAACGCUGGCGGCGUGCUUAACACAUGCAAGUCGAACGGAAAGGCCCUGCUUUUGUGGGGUGCUCGAGUGGCGAACGGGUGAGUAACACGUGAGUAACCUGCCCUUGACUUUGGGAUAACUUCAGGAAACUGGGGCUAAUACCGGAUAUGAGCUCCUGCUGCAUGGUGGGGGUUGGAAAGUUUCGGCGGUUGGGGAUGGACUCGCGGCUUAUCAGCUUGUUGGUGGGGUAGUGGCUUACCAAGGCUUUGACGGGUAGCCGGCCUGAGAGGGUGACCGGCCACAUUGGGACUGAGAUACGGCCCAGACUGCAAAGGGAGGCAGCAGUGGGGAAUAUUGCACAAUGGGCGGAAGCCUGAUGAAGCAACGCCGCGAGCGGGAAGACGGCCUUCGGGUUGUAAACCGCUUUCGCCUGUGACGAAGCGUGAGUGACGGUAAUGGGUAAAGAAGCACCGGCUAACUACGUG